ensembl:snRNA U6 U6 spliceosomal RNA
GUGUUGGCUGCACAUAUACUAAAAUUGGAACGAUACGGAGAAGAUUAGCAUGGCCCCUCUGCAAGGAUGACAAGCAAAUUCAUUAAGUGCUCCAUAUUUUU